rnacentral:rRNA from 1 species
UAGGGAAUCUUCCACAAUGGGCGCAAGCCUGAUGGAGCAACGCCGCGUGAGUGAAGUAAGGGUCUUCGGAAUCGUAAAACUCUGUUGUUAGAGAAGAACAUACGAGAGAGUAACUGUUCUUGUAUUGACGGUAUCUAACCAGAAAGCCACGGCUAACUACGUGCCAG